GCCAGCAUGGUGUAGUGGUUUGAAUGUUGGAUUAUGAUUCUGGGGGGCAGGGUUCAAAUCCCUGCUCAGCCA